GGAGCGGACCGGAUGGCCGCUGGCCGGAGGCCCGAUCAGACCGCCACUAGCGGUCGGGUGCCGGCGGGAGGAAAGUCCGGGCUCCGGAGGACACGGUGAUGGGUAACACCCACCGGCCGCGAGGCCAGGGAAAGUGCAACAGAAAGCAGACCGCCCGGCCGGACUUGUCCGCGCCGGGUAAGGGUGAAACGGUAAGGUAAGAGCUUACCAGCAGGCCGGGUGACCGGCCUGGCUAGGCAAACCCCACCGGGAGCAAGGUCAAGCAGGGGGAAGCGACCGACCGGCUUGCACUGGCAAGCUGAUGGUCGUCGCGCGGUUCGGUCCGGGCCGCCGACCCCCGGGUAGACCGCUCGAGGGGCCGAGCAAUCGGUCUCCCAGAUAAAUGGCCAUCGCUCGGCCGGUCGCUUGCGACCGGCGAGUACAGAACCCGGCUUACAGGUCCACUCCAGCC
rnacentral:RNase_P_RNA from 1 species